AUGCACGAGCUCCAUGAACUGGAGACCACUAUCAUGCCGCAACUCGAGCUGGUGAUUGAAGCAGCAAACAAGGGAAACCACAGGCCCAAGUUGGACAAAUGGCUUCAGGAACUCAAAGAAGGCUUCUACAUGGCUGAAGACUUGCUGGACAAGCAUGAAUACAACCUUCUCAAGCUCCAAGCAAAGGGCAAUGAUUCCUUAUCAGCCAAUGCUUCCUCCAUCAGCAGCACUUUCAUGAAGCCUGUGCGUGCUGCGUCGAGCAGGCUGUCCAAUUUGAGCUCUGAGAACAGAAAGCUAAUUCACCAGCUGAAUGAACUCAAGGCUAUGGCGAAAGCCAAGGAAUUUUGUGAGGUGCUCUGCUUGCCAACUGGUUAUAAUGCAGAGAGCCCCGCCAUACCAUCAGCUGAUGUUCCUGAGACCACGUCAAUAUCACCUCUGAAAGUGAUUGGUCGUGACAAGGACCGCGAUCGCAUAAUAGAUAGACUCACCAAGACCACUGCUACUACUAAGUCUAGUACAACCAUUUACUCGGGUUUGGCCAUUGUUGGAGCUGGAGGCAUGGGAAAGUCCACCUUGGCACAACUUGUUUACAAUGAUACAAGGGUAAAAGAUUAUUUUGAUGUCAGAAUGUGGGUAUGUAUCUCACGCAAACUUGAUGUCCGUCGUCAUACACGAGAGAUCAUCGAGUCUGCCUCUCAGCAGGAAUGCCCACGCAUUGAUAACCUUGAUACUCUACAACGUAUCUUGUCAGACAUACUGCAAGAAUCAGGAAAAUUCCUGCUUGUGUUGGAUGAUGUAUGGUUUGAACCUGGCAGCGAGAGGGAAUGGGACCAGCUGCUAGCUCCUCUAGGCUCCCAACAUAUAGGAAGCAAAGUUUUAGUAACUUCUCGAUGGAAUACAUUUCCAACUGCUCUUUACUGUGCCGAAGUGUGUCCCUUGAAAAACAUGAAAGAUGCUCACUUCUUGGCACUCUUCAAACACCAUGCUUUCUCUGGACCAGAAAUCAGAAAUCAUGCAAAACACGAAAGAUUGCGUGAAAAGUUGGAAAACUUUGCAGAGAAGAUUGCUAAAAGGCUUGGACAAUCUCCUUUGGCGGCCAAAGUUGUGGGUUCCCAGUUGAAAGGGAAAACCGAUAUAUCUACAUGGAAUGAUGCUCUAACUUUAAUGAUUGACAAAUUAAGUGAACCUAUGAUAGCACUGUUGUGGAGUUAUGAGAAGUUAGAUCCAUGUCUACAGAGGUGCUUCCUAUAUUGUAGCUUGUUUCCAGAAGGCCACAAGUAUGUCAUUGAUGAGUUGGUUCAUCUUUGGAUGGCAGAGGGCCUUCUUGAUUCGUGCGAUCGAAACAAGAGAGUUGAAGAUGUUGGGAGGGAUUGCUUCAAGGAGAUGAUCUCUGUUUCAUUUUUUCAUCCUGGCAAAGAUCGCAAAUACUAUGUUAUGCAUGAUUUCCUUCAUGAUCUGGCAGAAUCACUCUCCAAAGAAGACUACUUCAGGUUGGACGAUGAUAAGGUGAUAGAAAUACCAUCCACUGUUCGACAUCUAUCUAUCUGUGUUGAUAGUAUAAUGCAUCACAAGCAAAGUAUCUGCAAGCAACAUCAUUUACGCACUAUUAUCUGCAUAGACCCCCUCACGGAUGAUGUAAGUGACCUUUUUAAUCAGAUACUACAGAAUUUGAAGAAGUUGCGCGUAUUAUUUUUGUCAUCUUACAGUAGUAGCAAGUUGCCAGAAUCUGUUGGUGAGUUGAAGCACCUUCGGUAUUUAAACAUCAUCAGAACACUGGUUUCAGAAUUGCCAAGAUCAUUGUGUACUCUUUACCACUUGCAGUUACUCCUGAUAAAUGAUAAAGUUGUGAGUUUGCCUGAGAAACUCUGUAAUUUAAGGAAGUUACGGCAUCUUGACUGGCAUGAUUAUAGAAUGUGCGAUCCUGGGAGAAAAGCACUGCCUCAAAUUCCUAACAUUGGCAAGCUAACUUCACUUCAACAGUUUCAGAAAUUUUCUGUGCAAAAGAAAAUGGGAUAUGAAUUGCAACAACUGAGGGAUAUGAACGAGAUUCGUGGCAGCUUAAGUGUCACAAAUCUUGAGAAUGUCACUGGGAAGGAUCAAGCCUUAGAAUCGAAGCUGAAUCAGAAAAGUCAUCUUGGUAGCCUGCGACUUGGAUGGUGUUGCAAGAAUAACACCAAUGGAGAGGAUAUUUCACAUUUGGAGAUUUUAGAAAGCCUGAUGCCGCCACCUCAACUCGAGAAUCUUACAAUUGACGGUUACAAUUCUUCAAAAUACCCAAGUUGGUUACUUGAUGGUUCGUAUUUUGAGAAUUUAGAAUCUUUGAGGAUUGAAAAUUGCAGCGCGUUACAAGACCUACCAUCCAACACUGAGCUAUUUAGGAAUUGCUCUUCACUUGCCCUCUUCAAUGUGCCAAACCUGAAGACAUUACCUUGUCUUCCACUGGGCCUUACAUGGUUAGGAAUAUCCAACUGCCCAUUGCUUAUAUUUGUUUCCAAUGAUGAGCUGGAACAUCGAAAACAGAGCGAGAAUAUCAUGAGUAUAGACCACUUGGCGUCACAACUUGGUUUACUCUGGGAGGUGGAUUCAGGAUCAGAUAUUAGGAGAAUACUCUCAUCGGAACAUUCAUUUCUGAAGCAGCUGAUGAUAUUGAUGCACGCUGAGUCUCACGUGUUCAUAACCUUGGAAGUGUCCUUGGAAGAAGGAAAAAGAAAGUGUAUUAGAGAUGAAGCUCUAGCUGUUUGCCUUGAUGGCCUGACUUCACUGAAAAGUUUAUCCUUAAACAAAAUUAUGACUUUAACCACACUUCCUUCAGAAGAAGUCCUCCAACAUUUGACAAAACUUCGCUGCUUGAACAUCAUAAGUUGCUGGUGUCUCAGGUCAUUAGGGGGUUUACGAGCUGCUACCUCUCUUUCAGAUGUUAACUUGUAUUCCUGCCCUUCAUUAGAGUUGGCAAAUGGAGCAGAAUGUUUACCGUUAUCUCUUGAGAGGCUCAGUAUAUGGUAUUGCAUGCUUGCAGCUGACUUCUUCUGUGCUGACUGGCUACACAUGAAUGGUAUUUCCAUAUACAAUUGCAGAAGCAGCGCAUGCUUAUCUGUUGGUAGUCUCACCUCUGUUAAAACAUUGACACUGUAUCACUUGCCAGAUUUAUGUACGCUUGAAGGAGUGUCUUCCCUGCAACUUCACAGUGUACAUUUGAUUGAUGUUCCGAAACUCACCCCUGAGUGUGUCUCGCAGUUUCGAGUCCAGAAGUCACUCUAUGUUAGCAGUCCUGUAAUACUCAACAACGUGCUCUCGGCUAAAGGUUCCAUCGUUCCAGAAUUUCUCUCUCUUGAAGGAUGCAAGGAACCAUUUGUUUCACUGGAAGAAUCUGCAAAUUUCACAUUAGUCAAGACCCUGAGAUUCUGUGGUUGUCGAAUGAUUUCCCUGCCAACAAAUCUGAAGUCCUUCUCCAAUCUCAACAAGCUCGACAUCUAUAGCUGCCCCAACAUAUCAUCUUUACCAGAUCUGCCAUCCUCCCUCCAGCAUAUAAGCGUAUGGUAUUGUAGUGAGCUCUUGAAGGAGAACUGCCGAGCACCUGAUGGAGAAAGUUGGCCAAAGAUCGCGCAUAUCCGCUGGAAGGAAUUUAAAGAUAAACGAUUUAGAUUCCCACCUACAAAUAAACGGAAAAGACCUAAGAUGUGUCCUGUCCAGCAACAACCUGUUGUGGGGUGGAGUGCCCAAGGCUGGCUCAUCUUACAGUUCAAGCUGUUAUUUGAGACUGCGGCUAAUAUUGGUAUGAUAAUGUGGACAGCUAUCACAGAAGACGGUGAUGGAUGUCCAAGGAAAGUGCUGGAAUUACAUCAGGCUGCCAGAGAGCCGGCUGCUUCAGGUCUUCAGGCACUGUCAUCAUCUUCAGACUUCUGUCUUGAACGGCAUUUAACGAUCUUCCCGAUUGAGUCACUCUAUGAACAACCAAGACUCGGCUGGGGAGCUGGAAAACUGCUCUGCAUAUUGAUUGACAUACACAUGCCAUCAGAUAGCCACCGGGCCGUCGCGCGAACCCUACGCCGCCGCCGCCGCGAGGUCCCUUCUCCGCCGCUGCGCGCCGCCCUACUCCGCGCCGCCGCGAUGUCGUCCGCCGCCCUUUCGCUCUCCAACAGCGUCGGCAUCAUCACCUCGCCAGCGGCCGCCACCGUCCCCGCCGCACUCACCGACCAGAAGGUCAAGGGCCUCCUUCUCACCUCCAUGGAGGAGGGCAUCGCCCGUCAGCUCAUCAGCUGCGAGACGGCGCAGGCGGUAUGGACGGCCGCUGGUGCCAUGUACGGCGUGCAGAGUCGCGCCAACGUCCGUCACAUCUGGCGUCAACUUCAGACGCUGAAGAAGGAGGAGAUUUCCGUGGCUGAGUACAUGCACAAGAUGAAGGCCCUCGCCGACACCAUGGCUGCCGCCGGCUCUCCGAGGCUGAGUACAUGCACAAGAUGA
rnacentral:rRNA from 1 species